rnacentral:rRNA from 1 species
AAUGAACGUUGGCGGCGUGGAUUAGGCAUGCAAGUCGCGCGAGAAGUCAUUUAGCUUGCUAAAAGACGGACAGCGGCGGAAGGGAGAGUAACGCGUGGUUAUGUACCCUCGAGACCGGGAUAGUGUCGGGAAACUGGCAGUAAUACCGGAUAACAUCUUCGGAUCAAAUGGUGUGAUUCCGCUCGAGGAUCGGACCGCGUACUAUUAGCUAGUUGGAGGGGUAAUGGCCCACCAAGGCUUAGAUGGUUACCGGGUGUGAGAGCAUGGCCCGGCUCACUGGGACUGAGACACUGCCCAGACACCUACGGAUGGCUGCAGUCGAGAAUCUUCGGCAAUGGACGAAAGUCUGACCGAGCGACGCCGCGUGCGGGAUGAAGGCCUUCGGGUUGUAAACCGCUGUCAGUUAGGAGGAAAUCCAUGAGGGUUCUCUCUCAUGGUUGACCGAUUUUCAGAGGAAGGACGGGCUAAGUUCGUGCCAGCCGCCGCGGUAAUAC